rnacentral:rRNA from 1 species
AGCAGCCGCCGCGGGAAUACGGAGGGUGCAAGCGUUAAUCGGAAUUACUGGGCGUAAAGCGCACGCAGGCGGUCUGACAAGUCAGAUGUGAAAUCCCCGGGCUUAACCUGGGAACUGCAUUUGAAACUGUCAGGCUGGAGUCUUGUAGAGGGGGGUGGAAUUCCAGGUGUAGCGGUGAAAUGCGUAGAGAUCUGGAGGAAUACCGGUGGCGAAGGCGGCCCCCUGGACAAAGACUGACGCUCAGGUGCGAAAGCGUGGGGAGCAAACAGGAUUAGAUACCCGCGUAGUCCCUGUCUCUUAUAU